AGACUAACUUUAUCGUUCAGCCCGACAUGAUGAAUCCAGCAUGUAUGUGCAUCUUGCCUGUCCUCAUCUAGAGAGAUGCUCUCAAGAAAGACUGUAAUAUUGCUUUGGAGGGAAGUGCUUUUUAGAAUGGAGAAACCAUCCACAAGUUUUCCUGGGAACUGCAGUUAACAGAGUUACUGUUUACAGGUAAGAAUGUCCUGACUGCCCAUCAGUUCAGGUGGCG
rnacentral:lncRNA from 1 species